UAGGGAAUAUUGGACAAUGGGGGCAACCCUGAUCCAGCCAUGCCGCGUGAGUGAAGAAGGCCCUCGGGUUGUAAAGCUCUUUUGUCCGGAAAGAAAAGCAUUCGGUGAAUACCCGGAUGUUCUGACGGUACCGGAAGAAUAAGCACCGGCUAACUUCGUGCCAGCAGCCGCGGUAAUACGAAGGGUGCAAGCGUUACUCGGAAUUACUGGGCGUAAAGCGUGCGUAGGUGGUUGUUUAAGUCUGAUGUGAAAGCCCUGGGCUCAACCGGGGAAUGGCAUUGGAAACUGGGCAGCUAGAGUGCGGUAGAGGGUAGUGGAAUUCCCGGUGUAGCAGUGAAAUGCGUAGAGAUCGGGAGGAACAUCUGUGGCGAAGGCGACUGCCUGGACCAGCACUGACACUGAGGCACGAAAGCGUGGGGAGCAAACA
rnacentral:rRNA from 1 species